AUUGAACGCUGGCGGCAUGCCUUACACAUGCAAGUCGAACGGCAGCACGGGUGCUUGCACCUGGUGGCGAGUGGCGAACGGGUGAGUAAUACAUCGGAACAUGUCCUGUAGUGGGGGAUAGCCCGGCGAAAGCCGGAUUAAUACCGCAUACGAUCUACGGAUUAAAGCGGGGGACCUUCGGGCCUCGCGCUAUAGGGUUGGCCGAUGGCUGGUUAGCUAGUUGGUGGGGUAAAGGCCUACCAAGGCGACGAUCAGUAGCUGGUCUGAGAGGACGACCAGCCACACUGGGACUGAGACACGGCCCAGACUCCUACGGGAGGCAGCAGUGGGGAAGUGUGGACAAUGGGCGAAAGCCUGAUCCAGCAAUGCAGCGUGUGUGAAGAAGGCCUUCGGGUGGUAAAGCACUUUUGUCCGGAAAGAAAUCCUUGGCCCUAAUACGGUCGGGGGAUGACGGUACCGGAAGAAUAAGCACCGGCUAACUACGUG
rnacentral:rRNA from 1 species